rnacentral:rRNA from 1 species
CGUAGGGUGCGAGCGUUAAUCGGAAUUACUGGGCGUAAAGCGUGCGCAGGCGGUUUUGUAAGUCAGAUGUGAAAUCCCCGAGCUCAACUUGGGAACUGCGUUUGAAACUACAAGACUAGAAUAUGUCAGAGGGGGGUAGAAUUCCACGUGUAGCAGUGAAAUGCGUAGAGAUGUGGAGGAAUACCAAUGGCGAAGGCAGCCCCCUGGGAUAAUAUUGACGCUCAUGCACGAAAGCGUGGGGAGCAAACAGGAUUAGAUACCCUGGUAGUCCACGCCCUAAACGAUGUCUACUAGUUGUUGGUGGAGUAAAAUCCAUGAGUAACGCAGCUAACGCGUGAAGUAGACCGCCUGGGGAGUACGGUCGCAAGAUUA